GCCAUCAGAAGUGGUCUCAGGACAUCAGCCAGGGAAGGUCAUCAAUUCCAGGGGCAAAUGAGGCUGAGAACAGAGACUGUUGGGUGUCCAGCUAAUCAUCAGGAGCGGGGAGCUGGCUGGGUACAGCAGCUCUUCAGCACUGGCUCCUGCUUCCAUGGCUCCAGGUGGUGUGGGCAGUGCUGUAGCUGAGGACAGGUUACAUCUCUGGACACUAUGCACAUCAGCAUGUGCUGCUGGUUCAAAUGCAGAAGAGCUCAGUUGAGAAAAUGUGAAAUGAAGCCUGUUAUUGAUCCAAACCCAGCUCUGAAAAUGAAAGUAACCACUUCUGUAAGUUUAAAAGCGGUGCCAUGUAGCAGCUCCAUAAGCCUACUCUCACCAAGAAGGACACUGGGUGUAUUCCUGGGGGCUCUCAGCAGCUGGGAUGUCUGGAAGGAGCAGCACAGCAAUGUCAAGAUGCUUCACCUGCCACCCAAACCCCACUGGGGGAUCUCCCGGGCUGUGGAGGAUGAUAGCUAGCCAGAGAAAUCCAUCCCGAGGCUCUUUGGGAUCGAUAAGCAGUUAAGGGAGCAGCGGGAAGAUGACAUUGCCUGUCUUUGUGUGCAGACACCGCAGAGGGGCUGCACUGUUAAGGGGCAGCGCUCAGGCUCGGAGCCAUCGACUUUAGAAUGUGGUGUUUCCUGCUGGAAUUUUGGACACUUGGUGAGGGAAGAGCUGGUGGGAGUGCAACAGGAGCUGGACCAAGCUGCUGCAUCUCCAGCCCCAAACCCAAGUGAGAUUCAGAACAGACCCAGAAAAACUGAAUUGUGAAGCAAACACUGUUGUGAUUCUGCUCAGUGAUAUGUGAGGUUCCAUCUGGCAUUGCUCCCCUUGGGCACACACACCUUCCUCACUCCAGUAGUGCAGGAUGCUGGAAUCUGUGGGUGAGACCAAACUCCCACCAGCCUUAGGAAGAGUUAGAAAGCCCUUCUAUCCUCUGAACAAAGCCUUUUUGGAAAGAGGAAAGUUCUUCCUGAUGGUUUUGGAGCAGAUGCACCUGGUGGCAUGGUUUGCCAGCAAACACUUGGGAAGGUUUAGGGUCAAGUCAUGGUGUAAAAGGUGAUAUAUUACAUUUUCUUUAGUGAAUAUGUGAGAAAAUGGCCCAGCCCCCAGUCUCUUUGGAAGGGCAGAAGGAUGUUGCAGAGGCUUGCUAGAGCCAUUAUUUCCAGUGGCUGAUCUGCUCGGCCUUGUUUAAUCUGUUGUCCUUGAGCCAAUCUGCUUAAGUGGCACCGAGUGCACCCCGAUGCAAAGAACAGGCUCUCAAAGCUGGGGCUGGAUGAGGCAGCUGGUGCACCAAGGCAUCACCACCUUCUGCCUCAAGGUUUUCCAGCAG